CUGAGAAUAUUCCGCAAUGGGGGAAACCCUGACGGAGCAAUCUCGCAUGGAUGAUGAAGGCUUUCGGGUUGUAAAAUCCUUUCGGCAGAGAAGAAUAAGCCCUUGAGGAAAUGCUUGGGCGAUGACGGUAUCUGCAGAAGAAGUCCCGGCUAACUACGUGCCAGCAGCCGCGGUAAUACGUAGGGGGCGAACGUUGUUCGGAAUCACUGGGCGUAAAGGGUGCGUAGGCGGGUAGAUAAGUUGAUUGUGAAAGCCCACUGCUCAACAGUGGAAUGGCAGUCAAAACUAUCUACCUAGAGUUGUCGAUAGAGGUAACGGGAAUUCCUGGUGUAGGGGUGAAAUCUGUAGAUAUCAGGAGGAACACCAAGGGUGAAGACAAGUUACUGGGUAACGACUGACGCUGAGGCACGAAAGCUAGGGGAGCAAAUGGGAUUAGAUACCCCCGUAGUCC
rnacentral:rRNA from 1 species